UUAUGACCUCACAACAGCCGGCGCUGGAGCCCGGCAGCGCGUGCCUCGUCCUCGGGCCGCGCCUGCUUCCGGCGCUCUAGGGCGGAGCGGCCCCCGAUGGUGUUCGGGUUGCAGGGCCCGCCCGCCUGACCGCUGUGAUAAGGUAAACAGCGGGCGGCGCUAGUGGGCUGCGCCCCGCGUCAUCUUCGGGAGAGACGGGCUGGCUGCAGUCCCGUCCCGCCUCCUCCGAGGCGGGUUGCGGCGGUAGCGGCGCGGGCGCACUUCGCGGCCGUGCCAGAGGUGGGCCUGGCCAUGACUCCUCCGUACCUCGCGAUUCCUGGAAGCGGCGCUCCCCAGAGGAGCGAGGAGGACCCUGGAACAAGCACUUCCCGGAAUUCCCAGCGCGGCAUGGAAACGAGGCUCGCUUCGCUCCAGGAGCAGGUCUCUUCCCCCGCUACGGGCGCGCGGUGGUGUUAAGUGACGCGUCCAUUUGUUACGACCUUAGACCUACUCACUGAGACUGUGCCUACCUUAGCGCUGACGGGAGCGGGGCUAAGCUAAUGGUUGCGUUUUAAGAGGCAGCGAGACGCUGGGCUUCCCCCAUUUAAGCCCCCGCUCUGCAAAAGAAUUCACAGGGCAGCGCCCUUUGGCUUUUUUUGGGUCCUGCUGAAGUAGACAGAAGUUUCUGGGGUCGCCUGCAUCCGCCGUCCUAGGUCUGACAGCAGGGCCUUAUUUACUGUGUCAGCACCUCACCUCCUCGGGAAGUUUUGACUAAACUUAUCCAAAGGCUGUACUAAAACCCCGUUGGACUGAUACGCAGUGAGCUGGGCAGUAGGGCAGGGCUUUAAAAAUGAAUCCAAUUCUGAUUUGAGCUUUCCACCAUUUUGAUGCAGCAAACUAUUAGGGGGCUUCUUUGCAAACAGCUUGAUAGUAGAAAUCUGCAUCUUGUGUUAUAGAGCACUCAAGCCUUUCCCCUGCCACAGAUUUGCCCCCUUUAUAGCUGCAAGAGGAACAUGGCAUAAAUACAGUAAUUAAUGUACAGAAACAAACAAGAUCAGAAAGUGGCCAUCUGUCUGGAUUUUGUCAAUUCUUAGCUAACUUUUAAACAACUUUCUUUCAUAAGAUAUCCUAGUUAACAAAAGCAAAGAACAAGAUGUGUAUCAGGUAAUUUGUAUGCAUUUUAGUCCCAUACUCACAUCUUUAAUUUAAAAAUUAAUCUUACAUGUAUUUGCUUUUCAAGACUUGGAUUUUCUAAAUUAUAAACAUUCAGUAUUUUAAUAUCACAAAUGUUUUAGUCACUGGAUGAAGCUUAUCACUUGCUCACAAUUUUAAACAUUUUCUAUCAAACAAUGCAUCAAGGAAACAAUUAAAUUCCAUUUUAAAAAUUUCAAUUAAAAGAAAAGUACUAUGGCAAAGUUCCAGUACAUUUAGAUCUUGAAAUAAAUUUAAUUACAAAUUUAUGUGUUUCAGUUUUUCCUGGACUUGUUAUCCAGUUUAGAGAUAGACAUAUCUGGUCCCAUUUACAAUCCUCAUUUGCAAGAUUAUUUUUUCAAGAGUGUCUUUGUACAAACAAAAUUUUAUUUGCUCCAUAUCCUUUAUAUGUAAAGUAGAAAUUUCAACGUUUAAACUUAAUGAAGUAAAAUGCUCUACUUAAAAGGUGAAAGGCACAUAUCCAGUACUAUUACACUGAACUGAAAAAACAAGAUUUGUAAUUCCCAGUCAUCUGCUAUAUCAAAGCAAUGCUAAAAAAAAAAAAAUACUUCAACUGUAGCUUCCUCCCCCAAUCUAUUACCUUUAAAGAGUACUGCCAAAAGUAUUUAAUGCGUAACUACUUUUAAACUACAGAUGUGUUACUAGUUUAUUAAAUGAAGUUUCAUGUCUUGUAUGAGAAUACAAAUUCUAUUAAUUUUUUAAACAUGCUCAGAAUCCUAAAUAUUUUACUUUCAUCAAAUUAAAAACUUUUAUUGUUGUAACAUUAGGAGAGAGUGAUCUAAAACUGCCAUCUUCUGCAAUGUAGUCUGUAUAACUCUAACGUAGUAAAAAGAAAUGCAUGUUUGUAGCCAUGUGCUGAUUACACUCUAAAAAAAGGACUGUCCACGUAUCUAAAACAUCGGCAGUCUUAAUUCUACAGCAGAAUAUAAGGUGCUUUAAACAAUACAUAGAAUCAACAGUCUUUGUGCUAUCAUAUUCUGCAUUAAGAUUACCCCCAAGAAGCUAUUUUCAGUUAAAGCAAUUCUAUUAUAAAAUGUUGAUGGGACCAGACUUCUACAUUGUCCAAUUAUACAAUAUGUGAAAAUCAGUUACUGGGAGGUCUGUUUUCAGUUACUCUUUUUUCAGCUGUGAACAUCUAUGGAGUUACUGUGAAUGAUCUGUGUGUUUUUUUAAUAAAAAACUAUUUUCAUAAUAGAAAAAUCUUUCAAA